AGGACGAACGCUGGCGGCGUGCUUAACACAUGCAAGUCGAGCGAGGCUCCUCCUUCGGGAGGAAGCCCUAGCGGCGAACGGGUGAGUAACACGUGGGCAACCUGCCCCUAGCACUGGGAUAACCCCGGGAAACCGGGGCUAAUACCGGAUACGACUUCGGAAGGCAUCUUCUGAAGUGGAAAAGGUUACUGGCUAGGGAUGGGCCCGCGGCCUAUCAACUUGUUGGUGGGGUAAUGGCCCACCAAGGCGACGACGGGUAGCCGGCCUGAGAGGGCGACCGGCCACACUGGGACUGAGACACGGCCCAGACUCCUACGGGAGGCAGCAGUGGGGAAUAUUGCACAAUGGGCGAAAGCCUGAUGCAGCGACGCCGCGUGAGGGAUGACGGCCUUCGGGUUGUAAACCUCUUUCAGCAGGGACGAAGCGAAAGUGACGGUACCUGCAGAAGAAGCACCGGCCAACUACGCGCCAGCAGCCGC
rnacentral:rRNA from 1 species